rnacentral:rRNA from 1 species
CAGUAGCCGCGGUAAUACGGAGGGUGCAAGCGUUAAUCGGAAUUACUGGGCGUAAAGCGCACGCAGGCGGUUUGUUAAGUCAGAUGUGAAAUCCCCGAGCUUAACUUGAGAACUGCAUUUGAAACUGGCAAGCUAGAGUCUUGUAGAGGGGGGUAGAAUUCCAGGUGUAGCGGUGAAAUGCGUAGAGAUCUGGAGGAAUACCGGUGGCGAAGGCGGCCCCCUGGGCCAAUACUGACGCUCAUGCACGAAAGCGUGGGGAGCAAACAGGAUUAGAGACCCCUGUAGUCCCUGUCUCUUAUAC